rnacentral:lncRNA from 1 species
AAUAAAUAAAAAUAAAUAAAAUAAAAUUCAACAUAAAAUGCCUUAGCCAAGCAUAGAGUUCAAUUUUCUCAUAAUCGAGAAGUCCAGAGUGGUAAAAUCACAUCAUGGAGCCAUUGGGCCAAUGUUACUUCUGUACUUUUGCCCAAUCAUCCUUACCCUGUGGGUAUCAUCCUCAUUCUUGUCACCUCAGGGUCAUAAGAUGGCUGUUACCUCCUCUAUCACAUCCGCAUUUCAGACAGGGUAGAAGGGAAGAGAAAAUGGCAAACCAUACUUGCCAGCUCAGUCAGCCCUUGUUUUUAUGAACUUUUCAGGAAGCCCCACCCAGUAGCUUCUGCCUACACUUCAUUACCUAGAACCAUAUUAUAUUACUUGGCCACUUCUCCCUCCAAGGAACACUGAGAAAUGAAGUUCUUUAUCUGGGCACAUUGUUGUCCUGAACAAAUCAGGGUUCUGUUAGAAGAACAAAUUGGAGAGUAGAUAGGUGAGCGAUACAGUAAAAUUUCAUUAAACAACAUUAUUCACGUUUCCUAACUGCAGGUGAUUUGCCUGCCUCGGCCUUCCAAAGUGCUGGGAUUACAGGCGUGACCCACCGCGUGCGGCCGCAAGCUUCUUGACAGCUCUGUUUUGAGAAAUCGUGGGGCACCCAGGUUCUGUCUGUCUGAUUGCUUUGUAACCUCCAAGGAGUUGCCAUCACCUAAAUAGUCUAAAAAUUGGUUGCCAUCACAUCCAAUCCCAGCCAGUGUAAAGCUGGAAGAG